rnacentral:tmRNA from 1 species
UCCGGAUUCGACAGGGGUAGGUCGGGUAUAAGCUGCGAGUCGAGGGGGUCGGCCUCGUUAAAACGCCAAAGCCAAUAACUGGCAAAACUAAUAACAACCUCGCUUUAGCUGCCUAAGUAGCUUAGCGGUUCCCCCCUCCAUCGCCCACGUGGUAGGGUACGGAACUCACUCUAGUGGGAUACGCUUCCGGCUCGCCGUCUGAGGGCAGAAGAAGAGAAUAAUCAGACUAGCGACACGGGUGCCCGUCGACAGGCCGAUGUGCUCGCGAAUCACCAAAUGUGUCGACUAUGCUCGUAGAUGCUUAUAUUACGAUGCCUUUGGACGUGGGUUCGAUUA